AGUGAACGCUGGCGGUAGGCCUAACACAUGCAAGUCGAACGGCAGCACAGUAAGAGCUUGCUCUUACGGGUGGCGAGUGGCGGACGGGUGAGGAAUACAUCGGAAUCUACUUUUUCGGGGGGGAUAACGUAGGGAAACUUACGCUAAUACCGCAUACGACCUACGGGUGAAAGCAGGGGAUCUUCGGACCUUGCGCGAUUGAAUGAGCCGAUGUCGGAUUAGCUAGUUGGCGGGGUAAAGGCCCACCAAGGCGACGAUCCGUAGCUGGUCUGAGAGGAUGAUCAGCCACACUGGAACUGAGACACGGUCCAGACUCCUACGGGAGGCAGCAGUGGGGAAUAUUGGACAAAGGGCGCAAGCCUGAUCCAGCCAUACCGCGUGGGUGAAGAAGGCCUUCGGGUUGUAAAGCCCUUUUGUUGGGAAAGAAAAGCAGCAGGUUAAUACCCCGCUGUUCUGACGGUACCCAAAGAAUAAGCACCGGCUAACUUCGUG
rnacentral:rRNA from 1 species